GUACUGAUUGUCCUGUAGGGUAGGAUAAUUGCCUUCCAAGCAAUUGGCCCGGGUUCGACUCCCGGAGGGUGCA